CCAUAUCCCUGAUGGAAGCGAAAAUCCUUUUGUGCCGGUCCCGAUAGCUAUCGGGAGAAACAAAAGAUUGCAGCGCACAGCAGGAAAUAGC
rnacentral:sRNA from 1 species